rnacentral:misc_RNA from 1 species
CUGUAGAACGUUGAGCACCUUUCCAGAUUCGACGCACGCUGCCACAACUAGCCUUCUGCAGUGGCCUAGCACACACACGUACACACACCCGCAUACGCGUGCCGGCAUCGCCUGUAAGAGGAGAAAAAGGGAGAUAUUAUCACUAGCUCCUCGGGAAUCAACUAGGAAUCGAGAAAACAUACGUGAAGAGAGAUGCCUGCUCUGUCUGCCGAUGCGGCUGACACCAUCAGCCUUGUCCGUCAGCUGCAGCUGCUCGACGACAACACGAUCCGCCUGCUCGAGCAGCUCUUCACGAAUCGGCUGAAUGGAGAACUCGUGACGUCGCUCGUCGACGGCCGUGAGGAGUCGCUGGCGGUCGCGCUGUUCCGUCUCUGUGCCGGCACCCAUGCCGAGCACAUCCUAGGCUACUCCUUACGCUUCUUGGCGGACCUCGUGUACGCCGACCGCAAGAUCGGCGCGCAGCUCGGCCGUGGCGAUCUCGUCAAGGAGUUCGGCGGUCAUCCGGCUUCUGUGCUGCUGCAAAUCGCGUCGUCGCACAGCGAGAGUCUCGGCAUCGCGAACCCCGCCAUAUACCUGGCCGCCACGGCGCUCCGCUACGGCGAGUACGAAGGCAAUGAGACCGCCUUCAAGGACUUCUUUGCGCUGGCUCGCCACACCUUUGCCCCGGAAACGCUGCAGGUGACCGACGUCGCGUUCACCGUGCAGGCCUGUGUGCAGCUCGCGCGUCGCAAGGACUUUCGCCCGCUGUUCUUUCAGGCGAGCCUUGUCUCGUGCAUUCCGCACCUGCUCACGGACAUCGUGUCGAGCGACUCUGCUGGCAUCAUACAGGUCAUCUACGAGACGCUGCUGCUUUCCUGGCUGCUGUCUUUCGAGUACGAGGGACUCGUACUGCUCGUGCGCGAGCGCAUGAUCCCGCAGCUGCACCGCGUUCUGCAGCGGGUGCAGAAGGAGAAGUGCGUGCGUGUGACGCUCAUGACGCUGCUGAACAUGGUGGAGGCGGAGCGGAAGUACAUGAACAAGCUGCUGAACCCGUCGUCAGAGGAGUGGGUGGACAGCAGGAUCUACCAGUUGGGUCGCCUGCACCAGAGCGAGACGCCGGGGCAGCAAAUCAGCACCUUCAAGAAGGGCCCCUCGCUGGUGGCCGAGAUGGUCAGCGUCGGCAUGAUCAAGACGCUCUCGCAGGUCUCCCGCCGCAAGUUUGGCGACGAGGACAUCAACGUCAUGGUGGAUCAGCUGAACGCCGCCCUGGAGAAGUCGAUGCAGGUGCUGACGAGUUUCUCACAGUAUCGCGGCGAGGUGCUGAGCGGCGUGCUCGAGUGGACGCCCGUGCACACGAGCACCAAGUUCUGGAAGGAGAAGGCGGUGAAUGUGGAGGACAACGGCUACGAGGUGCUGGUGGCGCUCGGCAAGGUGCUGCGCGAGUCGAAGGACGAGCUGACACUGGCGGUCGGCUGCCACGACCUGGGCGAGAUCAUCCGCUACCACCCCACCGGUCGCAACCUCCUCACGCUAGCCCCGAUGGCGGGGGUGAAGGAGUGCGUGAUGAUGCUCAUGUCCCACCCGAACCCGGACGUGGCGAAGGAGGCGCUGCUGUGCACGCAGAAGAUAAUGGUGCAGCGCUGGGAGUACAUGCAGACGGCGUGAAGCGAGUAACUCUCCCAUGCCUGUGCAUGCGUGUGCACGUGCCAGGGCGUAACUCAUGACCUUCUCUAGUGGCAGCCGUUGCUUGGUGCUUCCAUCGACGGCUCUCGUCGACGGAAGGACUCUAAUAGCAGUGAGGCAGAUGCCACGAUGGCCGCAGGUGGCGAUGGUAGUGGUGCUGGCGCUCGCGGCAGCAGCCCCGCUGGAUGGAGGGGGUGAUGAUGAUGGAUGGUCCUCACCACCUCGACCCUCAUCCCUCCACCCCCUUUCUUUUUUUUUCGGCUCACCCCUUCCAGUUACGCCCGUCUCGAUGUGAUGUACGCGCGUUGAAGCCGAUGCGACAUCUCACGUGAUUGCAUGUUAUUCUGUGUGCGUGUGUUGCUGAUCGAACUCGGGACCGACCAACUCAGACACACGCCGUGCACAGAGAGGAGGAGGAUAUCACGCUCUCUGGCAAGCAGACUAGGGCGGAAAAGAAUUCAAGCAACGCGUGUGCUGGGUGGUGCGCGUGUGCGCAUGCUGGUUGCUGGAGACGAAAGGAAGGCGAGGCUUACGUCCUCUGUCCGGUGUGUGAGGGUGCCAUGGGUGGUGGGGUGGGGGCGGCAGGCAUACUCCACCGCCCGUCCCCGUUCACCUCCCUUUACCCCUUCCCACAGGUGUCAUGAGCGCCGCUAUUCGCCGUCCAAGCUUCCUCUCUCCGCUCGGUUUCACGGGCCCUCCUGCUGGCCGCUCGAUUUCUGUGUCUGCGUGUGCUGUGCCAUAGUGUCGUCUGUUGAGCGAAGCCGCCCCCCCCCCCUCAACCCAAAUAUAUGCAUAUAUAUAUAUAUAUAUAUAUAUAUGAGAAGGAUAACGCUAACAACGCAACGGGCGUCAUCAGGGGCGAAUUUGCCGGCGGAGCCGCGGGGUGCUAGCGUUAUCGUCUCUGCCAGUGCGUGCGUGUGUGUGUGUGCCUCGUGUGGACAAGGUUCACCGCUACGUUGCACUUGCCGAUCAUCGCUAUCCUUCCACCCAUCCCCGCUCCUCUGUACUCGGCCCUGUCGGCUGCGCGCG